CAGUUGUGCACCGCUUUUGCAGCAGGGCAUGCCAUCAUGCAUUUUGAGAGUCCACCUCUGACAGUCGCGCGGCCGAACUAGACCAACGAUCAGUGUGGACUCGGGCGCGAGGGCGGAAUGGAACAGCUGAACGCCAUCAAGAGAGAGCGGCUCCAUGCUGUGCGCGAUGACAUCGUGGCUCGGCGCGACCUGCACUGGGAGGAGCGGGCGUCGCGACCCAGCGUGGCGGAGUGGUACGCCGGCCGCAGCGUGUUCAUGACGGGCGGGUCGGGCUUCAUGGGGCGAGUCCUGAUCGAGCUGCUGCUGCGGAGCUGCCCCGACAUCGGCCACAUCUACAUCCUGCUGCGGCCCAAGAAGGGCGUGGACCCGGCCGACAGGCUGGCCGUGCUUCUGGGAGUGCCGCUGUUUGACCGACUCCGGGCGGAGCAGCCGCACGCGCUGUCCAAGGUGAAGACCGUGGCCGGCGACAUCGAGGCGCCGGGGCUGGGCCUGAGCGACGCGGACCGCGUGCACCUGUGCAGCGAGGUGUCCGUCGUCUUCCACGUGGCGGCCUCGGUGCGCUUCGACGACCCGUUCCGCAAGGCCGUGGCCACCAACCUGCGCAGCACCAAGGAGGUGGUGCAGCUCGCCGGGGACAUGCCCAAGCUCAAGGCCCUAGUGCACGUCUCGACGGCCUACACCUUCAUCAACCAGGACCCCAUCGACGAGCGCGUGUACGCGACUGACAUGAGCUGGAGAGAGGCUCUGCGCUUCGCUGAACUACCGGACAGCGACAAAGAUGCCAUCGACUUAAUCGAAGCCAAGUUGCGCGGCUGGCAGCCCAACACGUACACGCUGACCAAAAGCUUGGCGGAACGCCUCAUGGAGGAGGCGUCCGAGCGCCUGCCCGUCAUCAUCACGCGCCCGUCCAUAGUGACCACCUCGUUUAGUGACCCCCUGCCCGGCUGGAUAGACAACUUGAACGGGCAGACCAGCUUCUUGGUAGCGAACAUGAAGGGGUUGCUGCGCUUCGUGUAUGGCUACGAGAACACCUUCGACUCUGUCCCUGUGGAUGUGGCCGCCAAAGCGAUAGUGCUGGCGUCUUGGUCUAAAGGCCUGGGGAUAAAACUCAGCGAUCGGCAGGUGGACGUGGUCAACGUGACAGUGGGAAACGACUUCGCCUACAGAACCGACGAGCAGUUCCACACGGGUUUGAAGCACCGACUUCAGUACGAAAUACCGUACCCGGGGGCUAUCCGUGCGCCUCGCCUCCGAUACGAAGCGUGCCCUAUCUUGUACGCGGUGCUUCACAUCUACCACCACCUUCUCUUUGGUUUGGUAUUGGACCUCCUCGCCCCUGCAUUUGGACAAAAGCCUAGGGUACUGAACCUCUACCGCAAGGCCCAGAUGGGGUUCAACGCGACAACGCCGUUUCGCAGAAAGUUCUCGUUCAAAAUGGAAAACCAACGCAAAUUGCAGGGAAUGACGCAUCCAGCAGACCUCAAGAACCUCGACUACCUGAACAUUUACAACGCAAGGGAUAACGAACAAGAGAUAUUGAAAAACAUGAAAUUCCAUCUUCGUGGAGUGCUCCGCUACGCUCUCAAGGAGGAUGACGAUGUUGAGAAGACCGCGGCCAGACUGAAAAGGAUUGAGUGGCUCAUGAUCGCAUACCAUUCUUUCAUGGCUCUCAUUUUCCUCGGAAUCACGGCGUACUUUUGCAACCUGCUGUAGUUCACCUUUCCACACGCUCAAGAUUUUUUCGACACCUCCCGUUGUAUCUUCGACGGGGACCGCCUGUUCGACGCGAAACUUAUGCCUCCCGUUGAGCAACGACGACGGCCCGUCAAACUUUUCGUUGAACCUCGACAGACAUUCGACACCCGUGCCCAGCGGAGCCCGAUCAUCGAGCUUCAACGGAAGAACGACUGGUUCCCGUCGAAGCGUCCGCCGUCGUAGUUCAACGAGCGCGGCCUUGACGCCGAGGUCCAUGGCCAGGUCGCAAAUCCUACGAGCCCGGUGUUCGACGCGCGCUCGUUGAAGAACGACGAAAAAUGUCCCGAUUGCUCCCGUCGAAGCUUCGACGCGCUCCCGUCGUAGUAUCGAAGAAAUUCUUAGCGUGCACCUCACGGGCCUACCCACCAGUGGGCACAUGCUUCUCCGUGCAACACCGCCCAUAGAAGAAAGGCUCUGAUGACCAGGAUGGACAGCUACAUGGCUACAGAUCAUACAAGUCGCAUGCACCAAUGAAGCGGUUUACACCACCACCGUAACCAUUAGCAUCAUCAUCCAUCGAUGGUACAUGAAAACGGCCAAUUAUUUUUUGUCGUGGUUCAAAGGAUGAGUUGAACUAGAAGCCUUAGGUGCAGUCACUGUGACUGAGGGAGCUUCUAUGAGUGGCAUGAAGAGAAGACACCUCCCAGGAAACAUCAACUUCUGCGAAAAACCACUCAAUGACCAUACCAACGUAAAAUGGCCGUAGGCGUGACAACAACAUUUUUUCAUUGUAAAAAUAAGUUAAACUAGAGUAAGAAUUAGAGUCAUCAAUGGUGUCCACCGCUUAUCCUUCAAAAGUUAGAAAACAUCAAAAAUACCUAUUGUUGAAAAUUUAAUUCUUGGGCAAAGUCUCGUUUGUGCUUGUAGAAGUGAAUAGAUUAUGCACAAUGUGCAAUAUUGCUUCUGAAUUUCAAAAGAUGUCAGUGGUUACUCACCAGUGACAGAAGAAACUUUGCCUCUAAUUUGAAAAACCCACCUUGUGACCGUUGACUGGAUGUAAAUGGCUUUGUAUUGGGUGGCGCCAGAGACAUCAAACUGUAUUUUUAUUUUAAUUAUUAUUAUUAUUAUUAUUUUAUUUUUGUAGACAACAUGAGCAUUGUACAUAAUUAAAUGGGAGCGUCUCUACGCACUCCAAACUCUUAAAUUAUGAAAAAAUAAAUACUAUGGGAGAUCCUU